GUGAUACGUUGCACAGUUCCAGUUAUAGAUCAUGGAAGUGUCCAAAAUUCAAGAAAACAAGUCUACUCAAAUAAUGAAGUGAUGCAAUUUACAUGUAAGACGGGAUUUCAAGCAAAUAGAAAUGGACAAUCUACAUGCACUAAAGAUGACUGGAUUCCUAAACCCUCUUGUGAAGAAAUACAUUGCAGUCCAUAUGAUCCUGUGGUAAAUGGAAAAUUGGUUGGAACGGAAACUCAAUACAGAUUUGGAGAUAAAAUCGAUGUUCAAUGUGAAGAAGGUUAUGUUCUUCAAACAGAGCCCAAUAGCCGUCGUGAGUGCACAGCAAAUGGCUGGUUUCCAUCUACUCGCUGUGUUAGUAA